CUAACAGCGACAUCAGCUAUUUCUUCAUCGACGACGACUACUCUCCCGUCGUCGACGGCAACUUCAUCGUCGACGAAUUCACGGGCGUGAUAACGGCGCGGACGCAGAUCGACUUCGAGUUGAUGGACCCGGACACGCAGGGAGCGACGUCGCCGUGGUACCGCAGCUUCUCGCUCGUCGCCAUGGCGAUCGACCACGGCGAGCCGCCGCUCAACUCCACCGUUCCCGUGACGAUAUACGUCGAGGACGUCAACGACAACUCUCCCAUCUUUGAUCCGGACGCGUACGAGGUCGUCGUCGAUGAGACGGUUGCCGCGGGGACGCACAU